ACACACACACACACAGACGUUUCCAUAGAGAGAGGUUCCACUUUGCAUUAGCAGCUCAUGCUUCAGCGCUCUGCGAGUGUUUAUAGCCCUGUGACUUUAACACUUCAUGACUGAGAGCUGCUGCUCAGCGACUUCACCCACAGCAACCAUGAGUUUGAUCAGCGUCUUCAUCUGCACACUGGCCCUCUGCGCUCGAGGAUCCAGAGGUCAGGUGACUGUGACUCAGAGUCCUGCAGUGAAAUCAGUUUCUCCAGGAGACACAGUAACCAUCAGCUGUAAAACCAGUCCUGAUGUUUACUAUAGUAGUUAUUAUUAUUUGUCCUGGUAUCAGCAGAAACCUGGAGAAACUCCUAAACUCCUGAUCUAUUGGGCUAGCAGUAGAGCAUCAGGUAUUCCAUCUCGUUUCAGUGGCAGUGGAUCUGGAUCUCAUUUCACUCUGACCAUCAGUGGAGUCCAGACUGAAGAUGCUGGAGAUUAUUACUGUCAGUGUGUACCUAAUGUCAGUAAUUGGAUGUUCACACAGUGUUAGAGCGUCGUACAAAAACUGUUGUGAGUGUGUCUGCUGCAGCUGGGACCUACUGCACUGAAUCUACAGCACUGCAGGUGCUAAAGGGCAAUGAUGUGUGGUUAGUACUGUGAUAAUGCGUAUUGAAAAGCAUCAAAACCUUUAUAGAACACAUUUGACAAUGAAUUUCUCAACACUGCAGUAUCUGUCCCUGCUCUCGAUGUUGGAGAACAGUGUAUCACAAAUUAACAUAAAAACUCCUGCAACUAUCCUGCAAAGCCUCUAACUAGAGUUUCUCUGUUUAACUUCCAAAGUACACCACAGACGUCAGGGAAUUAACAAGUAGAAUACAACUUAAUUACCUCCCUAAUGUCCAGGAAAAACACAAAAAGUACAAGAAUGAAAAACACAAAGAAAAAAUCAUAAUAUCAAAACCGGUAAAGAAGGGAUAUUAGGCCAAAGCCCUUUUGAUAAUAUUUCAAAGGCUAUGACAAUGAAAAACCAUUCUCGAAUGGUGAAACAUUCUUUGCCAUGACCGACUCAAAGAAACAUGACCCUUGGCCUUUUUUUUAGCUUCUUUAAUUAAAUAAAUAAAUAAAUAAAAACAACAACAGGAUAAUACACAGAAACAGGACUAUUUACUGGGAAUUAGCAUUAGCAUAAUCACUAGCACUAAUCUUGCACUAAGCAUUGCCACAAAUCAGCUUUACAGGAAAUAAAAAUGUAAGAAAAAAAGGAGAAACGAUGACAUUAUCAUUUUGUCCCUGAUGACCAAGAAGGAAGCAACAGUGUAAUUUGACCUGUUGCUGUCACAAGCCAACCC